rnacentral:misc_RNA from 1 species
GUUUAAUAUAUACCCAAUUGCUAUUAUUGAUGUUCAUGCCAUAUUUUGUUGUUGCAGACAUCUAAAGCGCAGAAAGCAUUAAUUAGAACUUAAUAACUAAUAGAAAGCUUAGAAUUUAGAUCUUCCAAAGCUGUCGAUGGCAGCCCUGGUCGUGCCUGGUGCUUCACCACACUCAUAGAUGGCUUUAUAGCUUUUUCUUUUGGGCUUUAUAGGUAGCUAGCUUUCCUUCGUACUUGUUUGUUCUUGUUAAAAUUCGAAUCCCCUUAAUUUUGGCUUUUCAGGUUCUGUCUUCAAUCUUUUGGAAAUACGAUUUUCUCCAAAUCAUGCAUACUCUUCCUGAUAUAGAGGUGAGGUGAUCAUAAGUAUAGGAAUCAGCUCACUUCAAUAUAAACUGCUUACCGAUUCAAACUUGAAAAUUUAUAAAAUGUUUCUUAGGAAUAAUUAGCUGACUUACAAUUGAAAAAUUAAUAUCCCAUCAUGCAUCUAUCUCAAGAAAAGUUGCAUAUGAGAGAAGGUAUCUUU